UACGUAGGGGCCUAGCGUUGUCCGGAAUCAUUGGGCGUAAAGCGCGUGUAGGCGGUCCGGUAAGUCCGCUGUGAAAGUCGGGGGCUCAACCCUCGGAUGCCGGUGGAUACUGUCGGGCUUGAGUACGGAAGAGGCGAGUGGAAUUCCUGGUGUAGCGGUGAAAUGCGCAGAUAUCAGGAGGAACACCAAUUGCGAAGGCAGCUCGCUGGGACGUUACUGACGCUGAGACGCGAAAGCGUGGGGAGCAAACAGG
rnacentral:rRNA from 1 species